CCCUUAGAUGUUCUGGGCCGCACGCGUGCUACACUGAUGCAUUCAACGAGUCUAAAACCUGGUCUGAUAGGGGUGGGUAAUCUUUUGAAUGUGCAUCGUGAUUGGGAUAGAUGAUUGCAAUUUUUCAUCUUCAACGAGGAAUGCCUAGUAAACGCAAGUCAUCAGCUUGCAUUGAUUACGUCCCUGCCCUUUGUACACACCGCCCGUCGCUCCUACCGAUUGAAUGAUCCGAUGAAUAUCAUGGAUUGAGGAUUAUAGCAGGUUCGCCUGUCUUGAUCUUCGAGAAGUGAAGUAAAUCUUAUCAUUUAGAGGAAGGAGAAGUCGUAACA
rnacentral:rRNA from 1 species